UUACCUGGGCUUGACAUCCACGGAACCUGCUGGAAACAGUGGGUGCCUUCGGGGAGCCGUGAGACAGGUGCUGCAUUGGCUGUCGUCAGCUCGUGUCGUGAGAUGUUGGGUUAAGUCCCGCAACGAGCGCAACCCUUGUCUUUAAUUGCCAUCAUUCAGUUGGGCACUUUAAAGAGACUGCCGGUGUUAAACCGGAGGAAGGUGGGGAUGACGUCAAGUCCUCAUGACCUUUAUGCCCAGGGCUACACACGCGCUACAAUGGGUGGUACAAAGAGAUGCCAACUCGCGAGAGCGCGCCAAUCUCAGAAAGCCAUCCUCAGUUCGGAUUGGAGUCUGCAACUCGACUCCAUGAAGUUGGAAUCGCUAGUAAUCGCGGAUCAGCACGCCGCGGUGAAUACGUUCCCGGGCCUU
rnacentral:rRNA from 1 species